rnacentral:rRNA from 1 species
AUGAAUGACACUGGGCCAUCAAUCAACAAGACCGACAUCAGUGGCAUCAUUAGUGCCGGGGCGGCUGGUGUAGUGCUAAUAAACAGGAAAGCUGCUGGUUUCACCACCCUUCUCGAGGACUAUGGCAAUGUGGUGCAGGUGACUGUGGCUGAUGGCAACAAUAUCACAGAGUAUGUGAGGACAACAAGCAAAGCCAGUGCCAAAGUCAUAUACAAGAACACUGUGCUUGGCGUCCGUCCAUCUCCCACGGUCGCAGCAUUCUCAUCCCGCGGUCCCGGCACGUUCAGCCCCGGUGUGCUAAAGCCAGAUAUAUUGGCACCUGGGCUCAACGUCAUUGCUGCAAGGCCACCACUCACCAUGCUUGGAUCUGGGCCAUUCCACAUUAAAUCAGGGACGUCCAUGUCGACUCCACAUAUCAGUGGUGUCGCUGCGCUUGUCAAGAGCUGCCAUCCUGACUGGUCUGCUGCUGCUAUCAAGUCAGCCAUCCUCACCACUGCUGACAUCACGGACAGCACUGGUGGCCCGAUCUUGGACGAGCAGCAUGAGAGGGCAACCGCGUACGCCAUGGGUGCUGGCCAUGUCAACCCUACAAAAGCAGUUGAUCCAGGCCUUGUGUAUGACCUUGGCAUUACUGAAUAUGCCGGCUACAUAUGUGCUCUCCUUGGUGAUCAGGACUUGGCAUUCAUUACGCGUGACCCGAGGUUGUCAUGCAAAAUGCUUCCCAAGAUACCUGAAGCACAACUCAACUACCCUACCAUAACGGUGCCACUCAAGACAAGGCCGUUCACAGUGCACAAAACUGUGACAAAUGUGGGCCCAUCAAAUUCCAUAUACACACUGAAGAUGGAGAUUCCCAAAUCUCUUACAGUGCGAGUCUACCCAGAGACACUGGUGUUCUCCAAGGCUGGACAAAAGAUUAGAUAUAGUCUGACGGUGAGCAGCUCUGACAGUGAGAGCUCAAACUUCAUGGAGGGAAGUUUGAGCUGGGUCUCAGUGACCCAUAUUGUGUGCAGUCCGAUCGUUGUCGCACUUUUGUAA